rnacentral:rRNA from 1 species
UACGAAGGGGGCUAGCGUUGCUCGGAAUCACUGGGCGUAAAGGGUGCGUAGGCGGGUUUUUAAGUCAGGGGUGAAAUCCUGGAGCUCAACUCCAGAACUGCCUUUGAUUCUGAAGAUCUUGAGUCCGGGAGAGGUGAGUGGAACUGCGAGUGUAGAGGUGAAAUUCGUAGAUAUUCGCAAGAACACCAGUGGCGAAGGCGGCUCACUGGCCCGGUACUGACGCUGAGGCACGAAAGCGUGGGGAGCGAACCGG